rnacentral:lncRNA from 1 species
GCUGUGUAACACAUUUGUUUUUCGUUCAUUAUUUUGUUCAUAAAUUGGGCUGGUAGUUUUCCCAUAUAAAUUGUUUGACAUUUGUCAUUUUCAGGGCUUUUUUACUGACUAUACGGUAUGGACUUUGCUUAUUGUUGAAGACCUUAAGGUGACCUAUAACUGUUAACUUCUGUGUCAUUUGGUCUCUUGUGAUUAGUUGUGAAGAGUUGUCUCAUUGGCAAUCAUACCACAUCUUCUUUUUUAUAAAAAGAAUAGAGGAUUAAC